rnacentral:rRNA from 1 species
UACGUAGGGUGCAAGCGUUAUCCGGAAUCACUGGGCGUAAAGCGUGCGUAGGCGGGAAUUUAAGUGAGAUGUUAAAUCGUGUGGCUCAACCAUAUCGAUGCGUCUCAUACUGGGUUCCUAGAGGACGGCAGAGGCAAGUGGAAUUGGUAGUGUAGCAGUGAAAUGCGUAGAUAUUACCAGGAACACCAAUGGCGAAGGCAGCUUGCUGGGCCGCCCCUGACGCUGAGGUACGAAAGCGUGGGGAGCGAACAGG